rnacentral:piRNA from 1 species
AAUAAAGGGAAAUGAGUUUGAAC